CGGUUCGCGCAGGCGCAGUUGGUGGACCUGGUCGCGCUGUGCCGGGUGUGACACUACGGAGAGCAGAUUACAUUAUCAAAAGCACCAAGUUGAAACAUUUGCAAGGUGUGCAUCAUUUCACAAUUAUUGGCAAUGGUUCAAUGGUUUCAUCUGCUUUGAACGGUUUCUUCUCUAUCAUUAAGAGACAUGAGAGGUUUAUAUCAGGCAGUCUCCACCCCUGUUCCGAAGUCAAGAGGCUGACUCGGGUUGCUACUUCUUGACAGACCGGACCCCAGAUCGCCGAAGACCAUUUGGACACACUUCUAUCAAAUCCUGGCGGUCUCCUUCUAACAGGUAUGCAGUUUUCUCUGUAGACCCUUAAUACACAGAUAAGACUUGAAGGAAUUUAUCUGCAUUCCCUGAUUGGUGUGGCAAUGGAAGUCCCGCCCUGCAUCCCGACACUGAGCACAGCUGCAGCUUUCGCUUGUUCAUUCAUUCAGUAGAUAUUAUUUUCAUGCCUACUCUAUGCCAAGCACUGCUGUUCUUUGAAAUAAACCUUCGCCUCACCUCUCA
rnacentral:lncRNA from 1 species